AUGGUCAAUGGAUGGAAGGAAAGAGCCCUCUCUUAUGGGGAUAACGAAGCUUUGAUGAAACCGGUGGCCCAAGCCAUCCCAACAUAUGCGAUGGGUGUUUUCAAAUUCCCCCAAAAAAUCUGCAAGGGGAUCACUGAUGCAAUGUCACAAUAUUGGUGGGGUGAUGAGGAGAACUAGUGAAGGCUGCAUCGGUUUGCAUGGUGGAAAAUGUGUGUGCAAAAAGAGAGAGGUGGUACGGGGUUCAGAGAUGUGCAUAGUUUUAAUAUAGCAACGAUAGUUAAACAAUGUUGGAGGCUGAUUGAAAAUUAUGAUUCACUCUAUGCUAGAGUAUUAAGAGCAAGAUACUAUCCGAGCAGUGACUUGUUAGACUAUGAAUUGAAAAAGGGUCAUCCUGUUGGGGAACGUUGCAGAAAAUUAAAAUUUUUCCUACGGUUUCACCAAGAUCCAUCUAUGAGUUCAUCUAAGCAAUGA
rnacentral:rRNA from 1 species